AAAGUAGCAUAUGCAACAGCUAUGGAUUGGUUUAUUGCUGUUUGUUAUGCGUUU
rfam:Aptenodytes forsteri contig56465, whole genome shotgun sequence.